AGUUGAAUCAUCAUCAUCAAACAUAUACUUUAAAAAAAUUAAGGUGUUCUACUUCAAAAAGUCGAUUGUUUUUUUAAAAAUAUCUGGGUUUUUUUCAAAUUAUUUUUUUUAAAUUCGUCAAUACAUCCGAAGUGGUUGAUUUAUGCUGCUGGUUCAAAGCAGGCUCUAGAGCCUGGAUAAUGGUGCAUGGAAUAAUGGGAUAGGACCUCAGUUCUAUUUUGUUGGUUUUCGGAGCGCGAGGUAAUGAUUAAGAGGGACAGACGGGGGCAUUUGUACUGUGCCGUUAUAGGUGAAAUUCUUGGAUUGGCGCUUUGCGAACGACUGCAAAAGCAUUUGCCAAGAAUGUUUUCUUUAAUCAA
rnacentral:ncRNA from 1 species